GAUGAACGCUGGCGGCGUGCCUAAUACAUGCAAGUCGAGCGAACAGACGAGGAGUUUGUUCCUCUGACGUUAGCGGCGGACGGGUGAGUAACACGUGGAUCACCUCCUUAUAAUACUGGGAUAUCUUCGGGAAACCGGAGCUAAUCCCGGAUAAUAUCUUGAACCGCAUGGUUCAUUAGUGAAAGCCGGUUUUGCUGUCACUUAUAGAUGGUUCCGCGCCGUAUGAGCUAGUUGGUAAGGUAACGGCUUAUCAAGGCAACCAUGCGUAGCCGACGGGAGGGGGGGGUCGGCGACACGGGAGCGGAGACAGGGUCCAGGCUCCUACGGGAGGCAGCAGUAGGGAAUCGUCCGCAGUAGGCGGAAGCAUGACGGAGCAGCGCGACGUGAGUGAUGAAGAUCUUGGGAUCGUAAUACUCUGUUAUUAGUGGAAAACAAAUGUGUAAGGAACUAAGCACGUCUUGACGGUACCUAAUCAGAAAGCCACGGCUAACUACGUG
rnacentral:rRNA from 1 species